UUUAAUUGUACACUUAAAUAGGGUGAACUUUAUGGUAUAUGAAUUGUAUCUCUCUGUCUCUGUUUCUCUUUGUCUCUAUGUCUCUCCAUAUUUAUAUAAAACUUUAUGUAGCUUUUUACAGUUAUAGUUAGGGAGACCAGGUAGUGACAGUGAAUUAGGCUUGUGUGAAAUAAAGAGAGGAAGAGGCACAUUUUUAUACAUUAUAUCCUAUGAUUAUAACUAUGUGAAAUUAUUCAUCUAAAAAUAAAUUGGAAUAAAAUAAUAGAUGAGUUACAUUAGAGUAAUUAAAUUCUAGUUUUUCUUGUUUAUACUUUGCAAAUAGAAUGUAAUAUUGUUAUAUUACCUUUAUAAUUAAAAAUACUCUUUCAUUCAAAACCAAUACUUUAUUCCAAGUCUCUAUCAUAGAGACUGAUCAUUGUAAACUAGCUUUCAAGUCACUACUUCGUUUGCGUUCCGGUGGCAUGUAAUACAGUCUCCUCCCCAGACUUUUUUCCUCCAGGACAGAGGCUGUAUCUUACCCACUUCUGUCUCCUCGGCACCUCUCUCAGAUGCUGACAAAUAAUCUCUGUGGCACUUCAAUUAAGGAAUCUCCUGGGAGUGAUUGCCCUUUGUAAGGCAUCAGCCUUGUUAAAACACUCCUCCCAUCGUAAAUCACAUCGGUGAAGCAGAGCCUCUCGUCCCCAGAUAAGGUACCUCUCUGUACCGCUUCUAUUCAUAUCUUUCCAAUUAAAAGCACAAGAGGCAGAGGUCCGGAGCACACCAAGUACCCUAAACUCUUCUUUCCUUUCCCCUCAAUGGCGACAGGCUCACCUCACUUGCUCUUUUCCUCUCAUCAAACACAACCUAUUGUUAGAAAAAUGCAUUUCCCUCUUUCCAAAGAUCAAAUCCAAUACAAGUUGCAAUUGUUUACCACCCACAUCUCUACAGUCACUCAAAAUGAAGUGUUGGUGCCAUCUGGCAUUUUCCUUUGUUUAAAGUACAAAUAGUGUCUAAAUCGUUCACUUCAUUGCCUUGUUCAGGGAAUUUUAGGAGUCACCCAGUAGAACACUUAUUUUGUUUUUCUUAGCUUACCUUGGAAAGGGAUGUCAGGAGGGUUUACCCAUGGUCUUCACCAAAGAUCACCUCCACUUCACUGCUUCAGGCCUGCGUGGAAAUCAAGUUUGGAUUAAUCCAGGGGAAGUGCUAAACUCCUGGUGUCAAGAGCUGUUGGAGGUCGAGAAAACUGUAUUGUAUUUCCUCACUGGCUUUUGGAGCCAUUAAUCGUAGCAAUUUGUGUUUCCUCUGCUAUGUGCGAUAUCCUUAACCAGUUCUUGUCUCACAAUGACACGAGACCCCCCAGUACAUAUUUUAUGUUUUCUAGAACAUAUGACCUUAUCUUGAGUUAAUAUGUAGAUUGUGUGUGUGUGUGUGUGUGUGUGUGUGUACAUGUGCCAUUAGCACCCAUGUGCUCCUUACCUGAAACCCUAUUCUUCUAUUACAUCCCUGCCUCUGGAUAUGAAUUUUCUGAUUAUAUUCUCUUUGUUUAUAUAGGGAUUAUUUUACUUUUGAAAAACAUUCUGAGAAAAGCAGAAAAGUCCUCCAAACUCUCAAUAAAAAACAAUGUACCUUUUCAGGAAAAUCUCUGCCAAACCUGAAUUAUUCAAAUGGUAAUGAUUAACUCAUAAUUCUUUUUCAUUCUGCUCAAGGAUAAUUGCAAUCACUGUAGUAAUGAGCAUGGAGAAGAAAUGCCUGGAUUAUGCUCCCUGAGUCAAGACCACACUGCAUUCAAAAAGAUCAAUUCAUCGCAGUAGUGGAUUUGGUAAUUUCCUAGGAGGUAACACAUUUCCCAUAAAAGGAGCAAAUGAAUAGUUUUAAACCUACAUUAAUUUGCAUAAUUAUUUUAUGUAAUCCUUCAUGGAAAAUGAAUAGACAAUUGGAGCAAUAUUGUAUUACUCAGAAAUUUUGUAGAAAAUCAUGAAAGUCAUAUGUUAAUGUACCUCUUAGGCAAUGUUAUGUCCCUGAAGAAGAGAAUGUGUUAAGUGUCAUAAAGGUUAAAAGAGAUCAUUAUAUUCACAAAUGUUUCCAUUAACAUUAAAAACACAGAUUAAUUCUACAGUGUUCUGUUUUAAACCGAUAUGAAAAUGAAA